GACAGUGAAAUUGACUGAAAUUGACGAGGCUCAGAAACAUGUCCAAAAGAAAAGUUUUUGUUAAAGGAAUGAGUUGACAAUUUGGUAGAUUUUGGUAGCUGGAAUGCACCAAUUAAUUUAAGUUUCGUCAAUUAUGUUGCUGCUUUUUGUGUCCGAGUAGUUAGAAAAUAAAAUUGAGAAAGGUAAAUCCAAUUAGACGUUUAAAAUUAUAAUAUGAAAAUGCGGACAGCAAUGAAUUUUAGAAGAUGAAAAACAAUCCAAUAUUCAGCGCCACCUUUUGAUAUUUCGAAUAUAUUAUAAAAGUAACUAUUUAUAUAAUUAUAAUGUGAUAGAAUGGUGACAAAUUGUAUUAUUAGUUAAUUUUUAAAAUACUAUCAGCAAGAAAAAAAAAUUAGUGUAACAAUAAUUGCUGGAUUGAAAAAAGGAAAAAAAAAGAAAAGAUUAUUGCAAAAGAAUAUAAUGAGAACAAGAAAAAUUAUUUAACAUUUACCUGAUUAACAAAAGAAAAGUUUUUAACGAAAUGCAAGCAAAAUUGAUAAUUAUGUGAAUGAAAAUGAAUACCAUUUUAGCAGCUGAAAAUAAACCUGGAUUAUAAAAGUAAAAAAGAAAAACACAAACACUGGUGUAGUCUCUGUAAGGAACGAAACUUUAGUACUCGAGUAGACUCGAUAUAUGAUGAUUGAAUUUAUUAAUGUGUGUGAGAAUAUUGAAGUCUGCGAAGAAAUUUAGCAAAAGACAGCUUUGACGUAUCUAACUUCAGAAAAAAUACAUUCCUGUAAAUGGCGUGUCCCUGGUGUAUUUGACGUAGAGUCUUCUAAUUUUCAUUUCCUUGUAGUCGGCGACUUUGAAAUAAGUUACGUAUUUCGUUACAGAUGUUUUGAAUGCUGAUCUACUCAUACAAACAAAUAUAGUUUCACGUCUCUAAACGGUUUUACCAUUACCACCCGCAUGUGUGGCAACAAGCAUAAGUACAUUUGUUUGUAUAGUGGAUCAGCUAAAACAAAACGCGUCACUCAUUUAAAAGUCGGCGACUGUAAAGGCAAUUAUUUUGGCAAUAUUUUAAAGAAAAAUUACUAUUAAUGGUCAACCUGAAAAACUUAGGUUAUUUUCGGAUCUGAAACCUGCAUUUGACUUGAUAUUUUUCAGACUGGUCUAUUAAUGGGUCACCUAUAGGAAAUUCUGGAAUAACUAUUUUUACACUACAUUAUUCAGCGCCACUGGAUCAAGGAAGGAAUUCAGAUCAGGUCAGAUUUAAUGUCCUUUUUCCUCUGUUAACCUCUGUCAACUAAAACAUUCCCAGAGAAUAUUUUGGAAAUUUUUGAAAACUAAAAGAAAUUCCUUGGACAUCUGAAAAAAUCUUCAAAACUCAAAAUGAGAACCGGUAUAAACCGUGCUUUUUGAAAUUCCUUUGUCAGUGAGGUUAACAAAUGUCUAUUGGAGGAACUAUUGGCGGUGGUAGCGUUUCAGUGUCGUUUUCGAACGAAUGGUAAUAGGGUAAACCCUUAAAAUAUUCCGAAUUUUCCAUUUUCCAGACGGAUAAAUGUUAUGAUCAGUUAUGCUGCGUUUUCUAGUAUAAAUUUGACAGUUUUCCUUAGCAUAUCGCCUGAUCUUUAUGAACAUAAAUAAUAUUAAUCAUCAUACAUUAUAGUGUCUACCCGCGCUAUUGACCCCAUUCAACCCUAUAAUCUGAUUCGUAUGCACUACUCACACAAACACACACACACAAUAGCUAAAUUAAGCUGAUUAAAGAAGAAGAAGAAGAAGAAGAA